UAGGGAAUAUUGCACAAUGGGCGAAAGCCUGAUGCAGCAACGCCGCGUGCGCGAAGAAGGCCUUCGGGUUGUAAAGCGCUUUUCUGGGAGAUGAGGAAGGACAGUAUCCCAGGAAUAAGGCUCGGCUAACUACGUGCCAGCAGCCGCGGUAAAACGUAGGAGCCAAGCGUUAUCCGAAUUCACUGGGCGUAAAGCGCGUGCAGGCGGCCCGAUAAGUUGGAUGUGAAAUCUCCUGGCUCAACUAGGAGAGGCCGUUCAAUACUGUUGGGCUCGAGGGCGACAGAGGGAGGUGGAAUUCCGGGUGUAGUGGUGAAAUGCGUAGAUAUCCGGAGGAACACCAGAGGCGAAGGCGACCUCCUGGGUCGUACCUGACGCUCAGACGCGAAAGCUAGGGGAGCGAACGG
rnacentral:rRNA from 1 species